AUAUCAAUAAGCGCAGGAAAAGAAACCAACAGGGAUUCCCCUAGUAAUGGCGAAUGAAGCGGGAAAAGCUCAAAUUUGAAAUCUGGCUGUUAUGCAGUCCGAGUUGUAAUUUCGAGAGACAGCUUUGGCUUCCCACGCUGCCCAAGCUCCUUGGAACAGGACGUCACAGAGGGUGAGAAUCCCGUGUGUGGCAGCGGAAUGGGGGGCUGUGUAUAGCGUCUUCAAAGAGUCGAGUUGUUUGGGAAUGCAGCUCAAAAUGGGUGGUAAAUUUCAUCUAAAGCUAAAUAUUGGCGAGAGACCGAUAGCGAACAAGUAGAGUGAUCGAAAGAUGAAAAGAGCUUUGAAAAGAGAGUUAAACAGUAC
rnacentral:rRNA from 1 species